AUUGAACGCUGGCGGCAGGCUUAACACAUGCAAGUCGAGCGAGCGGCGGACGGGUGAGUAAUGUCUGGGACACUGCCUGAUGGAGGGGGAUAACUUCUGGAAACGGUAGCUAAUACCGCAUACCCUCAGAUGUGCCCAGAUGGGAUUAGCUAGUAGGUGGGGUAAUGGCUCACCUAGGCGACGAUCCCUAGCUGGUCUGAGAGGAUGACGAGCCACACGGGAACUGAGACACGGUCCAGGCUCCUACGGGAGGCAGCAGGGGGGAAUAUUGCACAAUGGGCGCAAGCCUGAUGCCGCCAGGCCGGGUGUGUGAAGAAGGCCUUCGGGUUGUAAAGCACUUUCAGCGAGGAGGCGGUACUCGCAGAAGAAGCACCGGCUAACUCCGUGCCAGCAGCCGCGGUAAUUC
rnacentral:rRNA from 1 species